rnacentral:rRNA from 1 species
UCCAGACUCCUACGGGAGGCAGCAGUGGGGAAUAUUGCACAAUGGGGGAAACCCUGAUGCAGCGACGCCGCGUGAGUGAAGAAGUAAUUCGUUAUGUAAAGCUCUAUCAGCAGGGAAGAAAAUGACGGUACCUGAGUAAGAAGCCCCGGCUAACUACGUGCCAGCAGCCGCGGUAAUACGUAGGGGGCAAGCGUUAUCCGGAUUUACUGGGUGUAAAGGGGGCGCAGACGGCGAUGCAAGCCAGGAGUGAAAGCCCGGGGCCCAACCCCGGGACUGCUCUUGGAACUGCGUGGCUGGAGUGCAGGAGGGGCAGGCGGAAUUCCUGGUGUAGCGGUGAAAUGCGUAGAUAUCAGGAGGAACACCGGUGGCGAAGGCGGCUUACUGGACAGUGACUGACGUUGAGGCUCGAAAGCGUGGGGAGCGAACAGGAUUAGAUACCCCAGUA